rnacentral:rRNA from 1 species
CACGGGGGGAGCAAGCGUUGUUCGGAAUCACUGGGCGUAAAGGGCGUGUAGGCGGUCAGGUAAGUGGGACGUGAAAUCCCUCGGCUCACCCGAGGACCUGCGUCCCAUACUGCUUGGCUUGAGUAUGGGAGAGGAUGAGGGAAUUCCUGGUGUAGCGGUGAAAUGCGUAGAUAUCUGGAGGAACACCGGUGGCGAAGGCGACAUCCUGGACCGGUAUUGACGCUGAGGCGCGAAAGCCAGGGGAGCAAACGGG